rnacentral:rRNA from 1 species
UACGGGGGGAGCAAGCGUUGUUCGGAUUUACUGGGCGUAAAGGGCGCGUAGGCGGCCAGCACACGUCAGUUGUGAAAUCUCCGGGCUUAACUCGGAAAGGUCAACUGAUACUGUGCGGCUAGAGUGCAGAAGGGGCAACUGGAAUUCUCGGUGUAGCGGUGAAAUGCGUAGAUAUCGAGAGGAACACCUGCGGCGAAGGCGGGUGGCUGGGCUGACACUGACGCUGAUGCGCGAAAGCCAGGGGAGCGAACGGG